rnacentral:rRNA from 1 species
GACGUAGGGCGCGAGCGUUGUCCGGAUUUAUUGGGCGUAAAGAGCUCGUAGGCGGCUUGUCGCGUCGACCGUGAAAACUCGCAGCUCAACUGCGAGCCUGCGGUCGAUACGGGCAGGCUAGAGUUCGGUAGGGGAGACUGGAAUUCCUGGUGUAGCGGUGAAAUGCGCAGAUAUCAGGAGGAACACCGGUGGCGAAGGCGGGUCUCUGGGCAGUAACUGACGCUGAGGAGCGAAAGCGUGGGGAGCGAACAGG